ACUUUUGAAAGAUAACAGUUAUCUAUUGGCUUUAGGAGUCAAGAAUCCUUGGUGCAAAUCCUAGCAAAAGUU
rnacentral:tRNA from 1 species